UUUUUUUUUUUUUCAGGCACAUUAAGAAAGUAAUUGCAGUGCUUGUAAGUGUUAACACAGAAGCAAAUUGGCUGGCAUAAGCCUGGUUUCAUAACUUAUCUGUAAAUACAAAAAAAAAAAAGCUCUAAAUUUGAAUUUACAAGGAACAGAUGUCUUUCCGCAAGCUUGAGUGUAAAUUCAGCAGGAUUUCCAAUUUAAUCCGGGAUAUAAUGACACUGAAAUGUAUUGCAAACAGGAAUGACUUGUUUCUCCUGUAGCACUGCGGGCUGUGGACUGCACGCUGUACAGAACAGCACAAGGUGUUGCACACCGCAGGUUUCCAGGGAGACAGUCACAAUCCAGUAGGGGUUACUGUUGUUCUUAAUAAAGCACUGUAGAUUUUGUGGUUUUAGCAAGUUUUCUGAUCAAAAUCACAGAUACCAGAUAGCAUUUGAUAAAUGACACCAAGUAACAUGAUUUAACCUAUUUCAAACAAGCACGUAUAAUGCUGCAGUGUGUGAGCUUACAGCAGAUGAUGAAGGGGUUUCCAACAGCUCAAAUUGCCAUUUUAACCACUAAGAAAAGACUUCAAAUGGAGUAUUAGAUGCUACAGACUGACCCUAUCACCUAGCAGUUGAUACAGCAGGCAAGGGAGGGUCUUUGAUAGAACUGCAAAAGAGAGAAGUGUGGUAAAGCCAGAAGCCUUGUGUAGUAUCAGCUGUUUCUGCACACACAGGGAAAUGAUGUGGCAAUGGUAAUGAUGCUGAAGCAGAGGAAACCCUGUUUCUUUCAGAAGUUCCAAGUUAUUUAGGUUUAUUCAGAGUUUUAUUUUGUUGGAGCUGUAGCCAGCUACCACAUCAGCAUAUAACCUAGCUCAGUGGCAAAUACCAGUACUAAGAUGUGCUAUACACUCCCUUUCCAUUACCACUGUGCUGCGCUCCAUGCCUUGCAGGCACACCUUGAGCAGUAGUUGUUCUCUCCUUCCCUCCCAAGGGGAGCGUGCACUGUCCAAGGGACGGCCUCCACUGUAUGUUCUGGAGAGAAGCCACAGGCAAGUUCAAGCACCUUAUACUUAACACAGAAGGCUGAUUAGCUGUGUGAUAUUCCCUAAUUCCUGGAGGAAUAAGUUCCUUUGGAAAGCCUGCUGCUUUUUUGGAGAAUGUUUUUCCUCCUGUGCAAAAAGCCUUUUGUCUGCAUCAGGAGGAAGAGUUCAGUGAGACACAUUCUUCUCCUCUUUGAUUUAGUCCUAAGUGUUCAUCUUUCCAUAGGAAUAUAGCGGUCUUAAGGUUUUCUUUCGCAUUGAAAAAUAAGCUGCUCAUAAAUUUGAUGAGGCCCAUAGGAAAAUAGUUGUUUAGAAACAGUGGAAAAAAUAUGGAAUGCUAAGCUUUGUACUGUGCUGGGCCAUACCCAGAGCUACCAUCUCCCACAGGCUGUGUGCCGCCCUCCUCCCACCAAAACCACUCUCCCUACCUGCCAAACCCUUAUCUCGGGUUGAAGGAGACAGGGAGUCUCUAGCUCAAAGCUGCCAGCCAGCCACUUCUCCCCUUGUGUUGGUGCUGCAGUGCCAUUGCACACAGAGGGCUUAUUCCCAACUGUGGUUGCAGCUUACCAGAGCACCUCACACUACCUAAGCCUGCCCUGUGAGCCAGUUGGUAUCUCAGCCACACAAGCUUAACACCUCCUGCCCACACAGUAUUUGAACCUCAGGACCAUUCCCAUGUCCUUCUGCAUCAGCUAAAAUUCAACAUGUGCUAAUCCAAGCUUUGCAGCCUCCUGAGGUGUACAAAGAGAGCAAGGGUAGACAAGAUGUGCAGGCAACUUCAUUACCUCGGGAACUGCUCUCACUUUCUUUAAAAUAAAAGGGGAAAACAUCCCCAUCCCACACCCUUUUGUUCUUCGUAUCUUCAUCUCAUAAGGACACAAGUUAAAUAAAACUCAUUUUAUACAUUUUCAAAUUUUAUACAGAAUCAUUAACGUGGAAAAGAUCUCUAAGACCACCUAAUCCAACCCCAACACCUACCAUGCCCACUAACAGCGUCCCUCAGCGCCACAUCCACGCGGUUCUUGAAUACCUCCAGGAUGGUGACUCCACCACCUCCCUGGGCAGCCCGUGCCACUGCCUCACCACUCUUUCUGAGAAUAUCAACACACUUGUGUGUGUAUAUACAUAUACACACACUUACAUGACACAUUUUAAAAUGUAUUUUUACUGGUUUUAUGUAUGUAUGAAAACACAUGCUUCCUAUCCUCAGGUGGGGCUGGACACGCAAUCCUUGGGAGAAAAUAUUUCAGUUUUAUGUUCAGGCUUCUGUGGUUUUUUUGUUGUUGUUGUUGUUUGUUUGUUUAGGAAAAAGAAAUAAUAAAUCUUAAGCCUUAAAGCUCAUUAUUGCAGUAAAGUUUUGUAAUAACCGUUUCUGAGAACAGGAAUGGUAGCGCAGGUUCACAUGGCAACUUUUAGCAUCUAUUAUAUCUUGUGAGUAGCUUUAGAAUUCGUAACUUGUAAAACAGUCAGAGAGAAGCCUAUCCUGGAUGACUAGUUUAGCACAAAACACUCCCUUGCCUCCUCUUGGUUUUUAUUGCUUCUUCAGCACCGAGAUGCUGCCAAUAUUUUGACAUUUUUUUCCUCCUAAAAGUCUGUGUAGCUCUGUCUGACUGUGUGCCUUCAGAGAAAAAGAGCAAGGGAUUGGGAUAUUCUUGCAUUUUCUUGUCAAAACAAAGACAGGAUAAUUACCAGGAAACAAUACAAUUUGCCAGUAGGAGAGCAGGUAUGCCUGAUAGGAGUAUUUAUGCUUGGAGGAAGAGUAUCAGCAUGGAUACUGCUUUAUUUGGGCAUAGCAUUUUGUAACUGGAAAGCGUGAGUUUCAGUUUUCAAGUGUGACAGAGGAGCAAGGUACCCAUUUCCAAAGGUAUUUCAAGAUGCAGCAUUGCUCUCACUCUGUAUUACCCUGGUGCCGGGAGGUAGAGGAUAGGACUCUGCAUGAAACCAACGCUUUAGAGCUCUCUAGAGCCACCCAAGGCUGCCCCACAAAUAGUGUGGGUCAUCCUUCAUCUGGGGCCAGCACACUGGCUCUGUGAUGCCAGUGACCCCUUAUGGCCAGAAAUCCUGGCUUUGUAGCUAUCUUGGACAGCAAAUAGAGCAACUGUGGGGGCGGAUCAGGUCUCCAUCCUUAUUCUGAAAUGACAAAAAACAUCAGAUUCCUUACGGGGCCUGGGGCACUCCAGCAAGGAGAAUAGGAGCUUCAGAGAUAUCAUCCUGAACCCUGGGGGUAAAUCACACUUGGUAAAGAUCACUUCGGUUUGCUCAGGGAGGCAGAUCUCUAGCGAUAACAGGAAAAGCGUUCAUAAUUUUUUUUUAUUUUUUUAUUUUUUUAAAAAACAAGGCUGCUUUCUGUAAUCCCUUCAGCCCAUCAAUUGACAGCUUCUGGGUGGCACAAACUAAUGCAGUUUGCCUUU
ensembl:lncRNA